rnacentral:rRNA from 1 species
UACGUAGGCAGCGAGCGUUGUUCGGAGUUACUGGGCGUAAAGGGUGUGUAGGCGGUUGUUUAAGUUUGGUGUGAAAUCUCCCGGCUCAACUGGGAGGGUGCGCCGAAUACUGAGCGACUAGAGUGCGGGAGAGGAAAGUGGAAUUCCUGGUGUAGCGGUGAAAUGCGUAGAUAUCAGGAGGAACACCGAUGGCGAAGGCAGCUCGCUGGGACGGUACUGACGCUGAGACGCGAAAGCGUGGGGAGC